rnacentral:rRNA from 1 species
UACGUAGGUGGCAAGCGUUGUCCGGACUUACUGGGCGUAAAGAGCGCGCAGGCGGUCGUGCAAGUCGCGUGUGAAAGCCCCCGGCUCAACUGGGGAGGGUCACGCGAUACUGCUCGACUCGAAGGCAGGAGAGGGAAGUGGAAUUCCCGGUGUAGUGGUGAAAUGCGUAGAUAUCGGGAGGAACACCAGUGGCGAAGGCGACUACCUGGCCUGUUUCUUGACGCUGAGGCGCGAAAGCUAGGGGAGCAAACGGG